GGAGCUUGACAGCCUCUUGAAGUAGUUUUGGACUGAGAAGACUGAUCCUGAUGGCAGAAUGAAUGAGACAGCAGGCGUUUUUUAACUUCAUCAUGGACUAUUUGCUCUAUAUUGACCCAAGUAACCUGGAGAGUGACGCAUCCCUAUUGAAGGCGGAAGGAGUUAGACUGGCUGUGUGGACAGCUCUGUGUGCCAGACAGCUACCUGAGACAAAAGAAGAUUUACAUCAAAGAAAGGCACAAAAUUUUGCAAAACAGGGAACGUAUGAGACUUCAAAAUUUAGGUACAAAAAAAUCGUCAAAGGUUUACAUGUUUUGUGUAUUUGGUGUGAUUGUGUGUUGGGGCGUUCUGAGAGGUCUUGAGUUUUUUUUUUUUUUUUAAUUUAUUUUUUUUUUUUUUAAACAUUUAAAAUAUUUCGAAUUGAGAAAACGACAAGCUGAGGGUGUGUUGUGUUUUUCAGGGGUUCUGAGCAGCACUAGUACACUGAAAAGUGUUUAAUGCUGAACUGUUGCAAACAAUUUACUUGUGUUGAAUUUAAACAAACAAAUUAAACUUAAUAAUGUUCAACUUAAUUUGUCUGUUUAAAUUCGGGCUAAAUUGUUUACAACCACUUAACGUAAAAAAAGUUAAAGGAAUCAUCUUUGAAUAUAAUUUUCAGUGUAAGAAUGAAACUUAAUAAAUAUUUAUAAUUGUUCUAAAUAUUGUCUUUGUAGUUCUUCUUCUUCUCUUUUUCUUUUUAAAUCUCCAUGUAUACUUUAAACACUGGGAUACUAGUCACUGUGAAUGGUUUGGUUACCAUGAUUAACUGGGAACACUGUUGCCAGUUAAUUUGACUGUCCAGUUAACAGAGCGGUCACUAACUGGGAGCUGCUUGCUGUCAUGUACUGUAGUGUUAAUACUGCAAACACAAUUUUGUGUGUAUGUAAUUUUAUUAACAUUUUUAUCAUCAUGCUUUUUCUAUUAAAGUUUCUGUGCACUGCUGAGAGUGGAAUUGAGUAUUUAUUUAUUGUUUUUAAAAUCUGUAUUAAACUACUUUGUUGCCAGAAUGAUGCAUUGUGCAGUUUAGAUGAUCGGUCACACUUUCAUGUUUAGAUUCAGGCAGAGACUCUGUGCAAGUGUGUUUAAUGUCUAAAUCAUGGCUCACCAACCUUUUUCCAUUUAUUUAUUUAUAUAUAUAUAUCUUCGUGAGUUUUUUUUUUUUUUUUUUUUUUUUUAAUAAUAGAUGUGACUUUUUUUUUUUAUAUAUAUAUAUAUAUAUAUAUAUAUAAAUAUAUUGCAUGCCAUUAUCUCUCACACACAAAGUGUAUCUUACUGAAUUUAAAAUAAAACAAUGCCUUGACACUUGCUGUUUUUGUGAUCAGUAAUGCCAGUCGAUGAGCUGCUGGAAAAUGCAACAGUAGAAGUACAUAAAUGUAUCUUCAUGUUAAAUUAAAAUCUUUUCUGUAAUUUGCAAGAUCAAAACAAACAACAACACCACACCCAGAGCAAAUCAGAACGAAGCAACCUUGACCAUUCAUGACACCCAUAGAAGCCUUAGAGAAGCAUCAGAUGCCUUUACAAAAACAGACAUUCCUGCUGCGCAGACAAAGCUGGCUGCUCUAAAGUCGAUCAUUGCAGACCAGAAGCAAAGAAGUUGAGCUGGAUGGCCUCCUGGAGCCAUUUUGACCUGAGCAAUCAGAUCCCAUGGAGAGGGUGAAUCAAAGGCAGCAUAUGUGGAGUGGAGAGUAAGCCUUAUACAGAUGAACCUGUUUGACAACCUAAGAAUUUCUCAAUCAAAGUCAAGAUCACUUGUUAAUAUUAAUAAUAAAAUAAAAACUAAACUCCUGACAGUA